AGGGNUCAUUGCUGGAAAGCGNCCCAGGCGCACCCAGAAACCCUUUGUGAANNUAUACCUUACUGUUGCCUCGGCGCAGGCCGGCCCCCCUGGGGGCCCCUCGGAGACGAGGAGCAGGCCCGCCGGCGGCCCUGUUAACUCUUGUCUUUACACUGAAACUCUGAGAAAAAAACAUAAAUGAAUCAAAACUUUCAACAACGGAUCUCUUGGUUCUGGCAUCGAUGAAGAACGCAGCGAAAUGCGAUAAGUAAUGUGAAUUGCAGAAUUCAGUGAAUCAUCGAAUCUUUGAACGCACAUUGCGCCCUCUGGUAUUCCGGAGGGCAUGCCUGUUCGAGCGUCAUUUCAACCCUCAAGCCUGGCUUGGUGAUGGGGCACUGCUCCCCCCCCGGGGAGCAGGCCCUGAAAUCCAGUGGCGAGCUCGCCAGGACCCCGAGCGCAGUAGUUAAACCCUCGCUCUGGAAGGCCCUGGCGGUGCCCUGCCGUUAAACCCCCAACUUCUGAAAAUUUGACCUCGGAUCAGGUAGGAAUACCCGCUGAACUUAAGCAUAUCAAUAAGCGGAGGAAAAGAAACCAACAGGGAUUGCCCUAGUAACGGCGAGUGAAGCGGCAACAGCUCAAAUUUGAAAUCUGGCCUCGGCCCGAGUUGUAAUUUGCAGAGGAUGUUUCUGGCGCGGUGCCUUCCGAGUUCCCUGGAACGGGACGCCACAGAGGGUGAGAGCCCCGUAUGGUCGGACACCAAGCCUGUGUGAAACUCCUUCGACGAGUCGAGUAGUUUGGGAAUGCUGCUCUAAAUGGGAGGUAAAUCUCUUCUAAAGCUAAAUACCGGCCAGAGACCGAUAGCGCACAAGUAGAGUGAUCGAAAGAUGAAAAGCACCUUGAAAAGGGGGUUAAAUAGUACGUGAAAUUGUUGAAAGGGAAGCACUUAUGACCAGACUUGGGCCGGGCGGCUCAUCAGGGGUUCUCCCCUGUGCACUCCGCCCGGCACAGGCCAGCAUCGGUUCUCGUGGGGGGACAAGACCGCCGGGAACGUAGCACNCCCCSGGGUGUGUUAUAGCCCGGCGGACGAUACCCUCGUGGGGACCGAGGUUCGC
rnacentral:rRNA from 1 species